rnacentral:rRNA from 1 species
AAUCAACGCUGGCGGCGUGCCUCAGACAUGCAAGUCGAACGCGAAAGUCCCCUUCGGGGGAGUGAUUAGAGUGGCGCACGGGUGAGUAACACGUAGGUAAUCUACCUUCGAGUGGGGAAUAACUCAGGGAAACUUAGAGCUAAUACCGCAUAAUGCAGCGGCACCACAUGGUGACAGUUGUUAAAGCAUUUAUGCGCUUGAAGAGGAGCCUGCGGCGGAUAGCUAGUUGGUAAGGUAAUGGCUUACCAAGGCUACGAUCUGUAACCGGCCUGAGAGGGCGGACGGUCACACUGACACUGAAUAACGGGUCAGACUCCUACGGGAGGCAGCAGUCGGGAAUUUUGGGCAAUGGGCGAAAGCCUGACCCAGCAACGCCGCGUGAAGG